UGCUUUCUUGGUGGUUUCUUUGGCUAGGAUUUUCUUCUCUCCACGUUCAUCCACAAAACUAGGGCAGAUGGUUAUCAACUGAACUAUUUUAAGAGUGCCAUCAAGGAGUUUACGUACUCUCUAAAAAAGUGAGGCGGUUUAAAGAGGUUACCUAAUUUAUCUCCUAAAAUCAUGGUAAAAACCACCCAUUAUCUACAAAUCUGCUUCCUUAUAACCCACUUUGCAAUCCCCUCCUGAACGCACCAUCCUUUCAUCUCUACAGCGCCAAAUAUACGAGAUGGGCACUUUCAAAAACGAAGAUUGAUGUAACUCUGAAGUUGCACAUUAAUAAUUGAACCCUACAUUAAUGGAACAGCCAUUGCCCUCGCUUUUGAUUUGUUUUGUUUCACAAGACCAGAAUAUCUCGAAACUUUUUCAGCAAUUUAUUUGUGUAUAGAGUUUCUUGUAGGUGAGGGUUGAUCAUAUGGCUAUUGCUUUGUUAAGGACUUACAAAUCACCAAUUGUUAACACUGUACAAUUUCUUAUACUCUCGCUUAGUGGAGUCUGGAAAGUGACUCGCAUGAAGAAAAGGAAAGAACCUGAUUCUGACAUAAUUAGGUGUUUGCUAAUUGCCUAAUUAUGUGCUUGAUAGUUAAGGUGAGCGAUUUAGCAACUUGGACUGUAAUCGAUGUUGGAACCGGCAAUGGAUGGAUACUACAGCUCAUUACUGUUGUUCAUCGCUAAAGCAGUGGAAUAAACAUUCAUCACUCUAAGUGCUCGCCACAUCAUCAUGUUGGCGCCAACUAGUAAGGUUUUGGUUAGAAAGUCAAUUGUUGACCAUGUUUGAUUGACCAACAAUAGGAUUAUGUACCUUGCCAUGAAAGAUUGCUUCAGAGUUGAGAGUUGAGCUGGAAAUGAAGCAACAAGUUGGAUACAUUGAUUAUGAUACUUGUAGGUGGUGGAUCAAAUAUAAUAUGGGUUUUUUUUUUCUUUUUCCUUUUUAGAUGAAGGAAUUUGUGGAAGUGAAAAAGGUGCUAACUUUGAAAGGGGUCAUAGCUUAAUUAUGUGUAUGAUAUAUUGAGGAGAAAAAUAUAUAGCCUGCAGAAGGAUCUACAAGAUUUGCAGUACACUAUUGAUGUACUGCAACAAGGUAUUUAUAAAUUUAUACUUUUGGUAAACAUGAAAAUUUGACUUUUGACUUGCUAUUCGUUGACUGAUUGAUCUACUGGUUUGACUUUUAGAAAAGUUAUUAAGAAGAUUAAUUAUUUCCCUUAGUUUUUAUGUUUCUCUUUGCCUAGCGAGUAAUCUUAUGCAAUUUGUGGAAAUCUCCUGCAAUUGUUGGCAUUAAAAAAAGUCCAACCACUAAAAGGAAGCAUCAACAUCUACAGCUGAUCUUGUGAAAAUACAAGACAAAAUGGAAAUUAUCAAAAAGGAUAUCAUUUAGCCAAAACAGUGAUAUAGAGACAGGGGCAUAGCUUUGUUGUGGCCCGGGGUGCCCCUGCUCUCGCUGAUUUUUUGCUCAUAGGCGUGCGUCUCGGUUACUCUUUUUAAAGUGAGCCUUGUGCGCUUUUGACUACUAUGUAUCACAUAGUGAUUCUUUAUGGUAGUUAUGCUGAUGAUUAGACUUGCAGAUGAGAUGAAGUGCCUGAGGAAAAAAGUUGUCUUAAAUUGGAGGAUUGUGAAGAAAAAAUCAAUAUGGUUACAGUUGCAUCAAAUGAGCUUAUUCUCUUCUAUGAUGAGUUUGUUAUGCAUAUGGAUAUUGCACUUAUAUGACAGAAAUGAAAUUGGUGUGUGGUGUUUUUAGUUGACUCA